rnacentral:rRNA from 1 species
ACACAUGCAAGUCGAACGGAGUAGAAAUACUUAGUGGCUGGCCGCAUGGUCUGGUCGUGGAAAGAAUUUCGGUUGGGGAUGGACUCGCGGCCUAUCAGGUUGUUGGUGAGGUAAUGGCUCACCAAGCCUACGACGGGUAGCCGGCCUGAGAGGGUGACCGGCCACACUGGGACUGAGACACGGCCCAGACUCCUACGGGAGACAGCAGUGGGGAAUAUUGCACAAUGGGCGAAAGCCUGAUGCAGCAACGCCGCGUGAGGGAUGACGGCCUUCGGGUUGUAAACCUCUUUUAGUAGGGAAGAAGCGAAAGUGACGGUACCUGCAGAAAAAGCACCGGCGUCGACGCGGCCG